CAAACGCAGAGCUGUGACCAACCUCACUGUUUCUGUACUUCACUUUUGAUUCCCAUACAUCACUUUAACUUUUUGUCUAUAAAUUUGUUCUGACCACAAGGCACCCCUGGAGUCUCUGUGUAUCUGCUGUGAUUCUGGGGAUGCCCAAUUCGUGAAUCGUUCAUUGCUCAAUUAAACUCCUUUAAAUUUAACUCAGCUGAAGUUUUUCUUUUAUCAGAUAAUGUCAGAAGCAGGAUCCAAAGUGGAGCUUCUAGUGACCCCCAGGAGUGCUGAGUAAACACGCAAGGUACCUGCAGGACCCACUUGUGUCCAUUGAUCUCUCAGAGCAGCUGGGCAUCGUGGGUAAAGACCUUCACAAUCGGGAACCCGUAGAUUGGAUCUUCUGAAAACAUCAGAGAAAGACUAUCUUUGCCAUCCACACUACAGUAAAACUUUGGAGCCUUGAACCUUGGAUUUAUAAUCUCACAACUGAGAAGGGUCCCUCCAUACUCCUGGAACUGUACACCCAUUGGAACUCUUAAGGAUGAUAUACAUGGCCAGGUGAAGACAGUAGAGAGAAAACAGAACUGAAACGUUGGCAAGCUUGGGCUUGAAGUUUUUGGUGACACAAGACUGGCUUCUACUUCAGGAGACCAACUUCUUUUUCACAUAGCUCCAAUUUUCAGAGGAGGUAAGAAUCAGCAGAAAAGAAGGAAUCUUUGGAGAGCCAAAACCAUCUCUACACCAAAUUGAGAGACUGGAAUUAUAAGGUGAAUGCAAUUAACUGGCAGUCGCAUCCAUGUUGAGAACACAGUCAUCCCUUUAAUAGAGAACAUUUGCUGUGCUUGACAAACUCACAGUGAAAUGGUUGGAUCCAUAGGAAGCAACAUGCUGAAAAUGGUUUCAAUAUGAUCCUGUUUUUUCACUCAAUAGCCAUUGAUUGAGGGUGUCCAGCCAAAAACAAUGAGAAAAUGAGCCAACAAUAGUCUUACCCUUUGACCAUAUUAGAUAAAGUCGCAGCUGAAAUUUGUUAUAUGUUUCAGGAAUAACAAAGCAUCCAUAUGGAACAUAUAUUUGGCAGUGUGGCAGCUGAUGAAACCAGGAAAAUUAGACAAAUUAUCAAUUGCUCGCUCCCAAAUUACCCCAAAAAGAAAUUAGAUCCAUUUUCAGUAGCUUUGCCUUCAAAUUUCUUCAUUCCGUGAGUCACCACUACCUUCUGCCAAACUAAAUAUGUCUAUGAACGGCUGGAAACUUUAAUGGAAAGAAACAUAAAACUCAAACUACGUAGGAAAAUUUAAGCUUCUUCAUGGAAGAUCUUCGUGGAAGACUAGCAAGUUAGGAAUGUGUGAAGACAGACAACACAUCGAUAAUUCCUUUUGUUUGGGGUCACUUCUGAGUUAGAGAGCAAUGCAAC
rnacentral:lncRNA from 10 species